AAGAAGAAUGGGCAUGAGCUAGAACUAAAGCGUGCCAGUAAAUAGGUGAGCAUUGAAAUGAUUUGGGGAUUAAAUUUUAACAAUGGAUCGAGAUCUAUGUAUGCCAUGGUAUUCGAGGUUGUUCUUGGUACAUUACUACAAUCCUUAGAAAGCGAACGAAGCCCCUUACCCCAGCAGGCCAAAUUGAUGUGGACACAUCUUAAGGUGUCCUCAGACCCGGAGAGAGAGCCAUUCCAGACACACAACCUCUCCAUGACAUCAUCUCUCUGCUUAUGCUAGACAGGAAGGUGAUGUGAAGAUAUCUCGGUUCGUGGAACAAGCUUUGGAUGAUGAUAUAUAGGACCAGAGGAGGUGUUGAAGCUGUGGUAGAGUAACAAACCAAAAAGCACAAUGCAAAAGGAAAAAUUUCAUUACUUGUUCUAAAAUUAAAAACAAUUUAGUAACAUGUUUUGUAUCCAUC